CGCAAUACGGGGAUCGCUCGUGCUCGAACGGGAGUGGCGAAGGCGGCAGAGGACGGAUAGGGCGAGUCGAUGGUGUAGGCGAAUCCGGCUCGGUUUUUAGGAGAUUUUUAUUGUUAUGAUAUAAUAGUGUAAUGGUGUAAAAAAUAAGAAGGAAGAGGAAGAGGAGGAGAAGGAGAAAUAGUGUAAUUUUGAACGAAAUGGUGUAAAAUUUGAUGAAAUGGUGCAAGUUUGGGCGAAAUAGUGCAAUUUUUGUUUCAAACACGGUAAAAU
rnacentral:lncRNA from 1 species